AGCGCGGGCUUCGGCCUGGCGGCGAGUGGCGGACGGGUGAGUAAUGCUUGGGAAUCUGCCCAGUAGUGGGGGACAACCCGGGGAAACCCGGGCUAAUACCGCAUACGUCCUACGGGAGAAAGCGGGGGAUCUUCGGACCUCGCGCUAUUGGAUGAGCCCAAGUCGGAUUAGCUAGUUGGUAGGGUAACGGCCUACCAAGGCGACGAUCCGUAGCUGGUCUGAGAGGACGAUCAGCCACACCGGAACUGAGACACGGUCCGGACUCCUACGGGAGGCAGCAGUGGGGAAUAUUGGACAAUGGGCGCAAGCCUGAUCCAGCAAUGCCGCGUGUGUGAAGAAGGCCUGCGGGUUGUAAAGCACUUUCAGCAGGGAAGAACAGCGUGGGGCUAAUAUCCCCGCGUCCUGACGUCACCUGCAGAAGAAGCACCGGCUAACUCCGUGCCAGCAGCCGCGGUAAUACGGAGGGUGCGAGCGUUAAUCGGAAUUACUGGGCGUAAAGCGCACGUAGGCGGCUUGGUAAGUCGAAUGUGAAAGCCCCGGGCUUAACCUGGGAACUGCAUCCGAAACUGCCUGGCUGGAGUAAGGGAGAGGGAAGCGGAAUUUCCGGUGU
rnacentral:rRNA from 1 species